AUCCUUUCGGUGUUCGGCACAAGAGAAUUUGAGUCUCUAGGAGGUUUAUUUCCAGAGGAUG
rnacentral:tRNA from 1 species